AUCCGAUGACCUUAGGAGUCAAGACCCUUGGUGCAACUCCAAGUAAAAGUA
rnacentral:tRNA from 1 species